GAUUACACUCUCUGGCCUUUCUGGGUCGACACGCACGUAGACCCUCCGUUCCAUAAGAGCAGGUGAGGUAGGGACAGGGAAGACUGGGGGCGAGAUAGGACCCAGCCAGGGCUGAGCGCACUCUUGCCCUCUCCAGUGAUGGAACUGUACGAGAUAGGCGGGGCCAAGACGUCCGACUGUACCCAGAGGUGCCUGAGGUCCUAAAACGAUUGCAGAGCCUUGGGGUGCCCGGUGCGGCUGCUUCAAGGACAAGUGAGAUAGAAGGGGCCAACCAGCUACUGGAGCUCUUUGACCUCUUCAGGUGUUACCUGCAUUCACAUCCAGAAUGGAAUGAAUCUUCAAACUCUAAGUCAAGGGUUAGAGACAUUUGCGAAGGCCCAAACUGGGCCUUUGAGGUCCAGCCUUGAGGAGAGCCCAUUUGAGGCCUAAACUGAAAGGAAAUCAAGAAGGCAUUUUCAGGUGCAUUUGUAAUUUAUUAAAGUUCAUCUGUGUGUGACAGAA
rnacentral:lncRNA from 1 species